rnacentral:rRNA from 1 species
UACGAAGGGGGGCUAGCGUUGCUCGGAAUCACUGGGCGUAAAGCGCACGUAGGCGGGUUGCUAAGUCAGGGGUGAAAUCCUGGAGCUCAACUCCAGAACUGCCUUUGAUACUGGCGGCCUCGAGUCCGGGAGAGGUGAGUGGAACUGCGAGUGUAGAGGUGAAAUUCGUAGAUAUUCGCAAGAACACCAGUGGCGAAGGCGGCUCACUGGCCCGGUACUGACGCUGAGGUGCGAAAGCGUGGGGAGCAAACAGG